AUGGACCUCCAUGCCCGCCUGCUGCGCCGCGGCUGUGUCCUCGGCUUUCCCAGGAUCCGCCGCAAGGCGCCGUUCCCUGGGCUCACCGGCCGACGCCGUGGAAGGCAGGUACGUGGGAGGACUCCACCCUCCUCAGGCUGCGCCGCCCUACGUCCCUCACCUCGAUUGAAGCUGCCCGCUUCCUCCAGCCGCUCGCCGAUGGGGAUCUACCGGCCGCCCGGCCCCGCGCCGCCACAGUCCAGGAAGGAGAUAUCGCCGUGCGGGCGCUUCUUGAGCUCGGGAGAGGCACAGGAGAAGGAAGAGGCAAAAGGGAGAUCAUCUACAUUAAUCUCCUGUCAAUUAUUGGAAAUCCCAAGUACUUCACGAGCAAAGCACCUAUGGAGAAGGAUGGUAGAAGUGAGUUCAAAAGGGAGAUCAUCCACACCACUUGCAGAUCAGCGGGAGGAGAACAAUCAGUAG
rnacentral:rRNA from 1 species